UGAGUACGAGAUGCUACGGCAUCGAAGCAGUCUAUGUCAUACUUCCAAGAAAAGCUUGCAAUGUCAUAAACAAAUAAUGCCUGUACCAUAACCGACACAGGUGGGUAGGUAGAGUAUACUAAGGGGCGCGAGAUAACUCUCCCUGAGGAACUCGGCAAAAUGACUCCGUAACUUCGGGAGAAGGAGUGCCUUAUUUUUAUAAGGUUGCAAUAACAAGAUCCAAGCAACUGUUUACCAAAAACACAGGUCUCCGCUAAGUCGUAAGACGAUGUAUGGGGGCUGACGCCUGCCCAGUGCCAGAAGGUUAAAGAAGUUGGUUAGCAUUAGCGAAGCUGAUAACUGAAGCCCUGGUGAACGGCGGCCGUAACAAUAACGGUCCUAAGGUAGCGAAAUUCCUUGUCGGGUAAGUUCCGACCCGCACGAAAGGCGUAAUGAUUUGGAUACUGUCUCGGAGAGGGGCUCGGUGAAAUAGACUUGUCUGUGAAGAUGCGGACUACCUGCACCUGGACAGAAAGACCCUAUGAAGCUUUACUGUAACUUGAGAUUGAAAUUGGACUUUAUCUGCGCAGUAUAGGUGGGAGACGUUGAAAAUAUUCUUGCGGGAAUAUUGGAGUCAUCAGUGAGAUACCACUCUUAUAAUGUUAGAUUUCUAACUUUGUAUCAUUAUCUGGUCAAAGAACAGUUUCAGGCGGGCAGUUUGACUGGGGCGGUCGCCUCCCAAACGGUAACGGAGGCGCACAAAGGUUUCCUCUGAACGUGUAGAAAUCGUAUCUAGAGUGUAAAGGCAUAAGGAAGCUUGACUGUGAGACCUACAAGUCGAGCAGGGACGAAAGUCGGUCUUAGUGAUCUGACGGUGCUGAGUGGAAAGGCCGUCACUCAACGGAUAAAAGUUACUCUAAGGAUAACAGGCUGAUCUCCCCCAAGAGUUCACAUCGACGGGGAGGUUUGGCACCUCGAUGUCGGCUCAUCGCAUCCUGGGGCGGUAGUACGUCCCAAGGGUUGGGCUGUUCGCCCAUGAAAGCGGUACGCGAGCUGGGUUCAGAACGUCGUGAGACAGUUCGGUCCAUAUCCGGUGUAGGCGUUAGAAUAUUGAGAGGAGCCUUCUUUAGUACGAGAGGACAGAGAAGGACAUACCUCUGGUGUACCAGUUAUCGUGCCAACGGUAAACGCUGGGUAGCCAUGUAUGGAGAGGAUAACCGCUGAAAGCAUCUAAGUGGGAAGCCCACCUCAAGAUAAGUAUUC
rnacentral:rRNA from 1 species